AAAUGAAUAGACGGGGGCCCGCACAAGCAGCGGAGCAUGUCGUUUAAUUCGAUGCAACGCGAAGAACCUUACCAGGUCUUGACAUCCAACUAAAGCCGUAGAGAUACGGUGUCCCUUCGGGGGAGUUGAGACAGGUGGUGCAUGGUUGUCGUCAGCUCGUGUCGUGAGAUGUUGGGUUAAGUCCCGCAACGAGCGCAACCCUUAUGAUCAGUUACUAACGGGUAAAGCCGAGGACUCUGAUAAGACUGCCGGGGACAACUCGGAGGAAGGUGGGGACGACGUCAAAUCAUCAUGCCCCUUAUGACCUGGGCUACAGACGUGCUACAAUGGCGACUACAAAGAGGAGCAAAGCCGUAAGGUGGAGCGGAUCUCAAAAAAGUCGUCCCAGUUCGGACUGUGGGCUGCAACCCGCCCACACGAAGUUGGAGUUGCUAGUAAUCGCGGAUCAGAAUGCCGCGGUGAAUACGUUCCCGGGCCUUGUACACACCGCCCGU
rnacentral:rRNA from 1 species